UACGUAGGGGGCAAGCGUUGUCCGGAUUUAUUGGGCGUAAAGAGCGUGUAGGCGGUUAGGUAGGUCCGUUGUGAAAACUCGAGGCUCAACCUCGAGACGCCGAUGGAAACCAUCUAACUAGAGUCCGGAAGAGGAGAGUGGAAUUCCUGGUGUAGCGGUGAAAUGCGCAGAUAUCAGGAGGAACACCAAUGGCGAAGGCAGCUCGCUGGAACGGUACUGACGCUGAGGCGCGAAAGCGUGGGGAGCAAACAGG
rnacentral:rRNA from 1 species